GAUGAACGCUAGCUACAGGCUUAACACAUGCAAGUCGAGGGGAAACGACAUCGAAAGCUUGCUUUUGAUGGGCGUCGACCGGCGCACGGGUGAGUAACGCGUAUCCAACCUGCCCAUCACUUGGGAAUAACCUUGCGAAAGUAAGACUAAUACCCAAUGACAUCCCACGAAGACAUCUGAAUGGGAUUAAAGAUUUAUCGGUGAUGGAUGGGGAUGCGUCUGAUUAGCUUGUUGGCGGGGUAACGGCCCACCAAGGCAACGAUCAGUAGGGGUUCUGAGAGGAAGGUCCCCCACAUUGGAACUGAGACACGGUCCAAACUCCUACGGGAGGCGGCAGUGAGGAAUAUUGGUAAAUGGGCGAGAGCCUGAACCAGCCAAGUAGCGUGCAGGAUGACGGCCCUAUGGGUUGUAAACUGCUUUUAUAAGGGAAUAAAGUGGGUCUCGUGAGACUUUUUGCAUGUACCUUAUGAAUAAGGACCGGCUAAUUCCGUG
rnacentral:rRNA from 1 species